AUGUCAAAUCUCUGUGCUCUCCCCCUCCCUUUUCUCUCCCUACCCUCCCACCUUUGUUCCUGUGACUUCACUGUUAGAACUCCACAGCUGGAACUUCCCUCAAACCUUCCAUUCGGUGUCUACUCAUCCUGCGCUCUCUCGGCAGCUUUUACUAAAGAGCCUGAUGACUUCAUGAUUCAUGCCCUGAUGUCAUCUAGCCCCGGUCAAAACAAAGGUGUCUUUUUACAUACAUACACCAUUUUCACCUUCAACACCAGUUCCAACAUGCUAUGUCCAGGGAGACUUAAAAUAACGAAACUAUUACAUCAUCUGUGUUUAGCAAGCGUUUCGCUGACCGCAGAAUUAUCAGCAUCAUGCCCAUGCUACAGAUGGGAACGCGUGUGCUUGUAUUACGCAUCUUGGCCUCUGUUCUUUACAUUUGGAACAGCCAGGGGACGCCUUCAUGGCUCAUUUUUGGGCUUACUUCCCGUGGGAUUUCCUAACCUCAUCCCUCUGAGUCUCAUUCCUCAAGCUGGCUUCAUUCAAGCUAAAGGAUUCUCAGGCGGACCACUCCUCCCAGGCAAAGGCACGGAUGUGCGUUUUCAGAAGGCCCUUCAAAGUCUUAACACAAGGAGGACUGUCACAGCGAGUCGGAUGAUGUGUCUGCCAGCUGCUCACAAGUAGGGGCACAUCUGGUGUGAGAACUUGAGCAGUAGGAACCUACAGGACGCCAGGCCGGGAAGCGGGGGGCAGAGUGCCCACUAGUGGGCGGACCACGGUGAAGCAAGGUAACGCCGAAUCACACUAAUACGAUGCCAUUACGGGCUGGAUGGACGCGAGUCUGAGUGAACUCCGGGAGACGGUGAUGGAAAGGGAGGCCUGGCGUGCUGCGAUUCAUGGGGUCGCAAAGAGUUGGACAAGAGGACAAGACUGAGCGACUGAACUGAGCUGAACUGAGCCAAGAGAGAGGAGCGUAACACGCUCAAGAGUUAAUGGUAGAGAAAUGGAAAGACUCCUUCUGUUUAAGAGUGGAGCAAAGGCCUAUAAGGCCAGGAGGAAAUACCCAACUAGAAAGUGAAAGGGUAACCAACAAAAACCUAUUCUAAAGCACAUGGAACUCUACUCAAUGUCAUGUGCCAGCCUGGAUGGGAGCGGGGUUUGGGGGAGAACGGAUACAUGCAUACGUGUGGCUGAGUCACUUCACUGUUCACCUGAAACUAUCACAUCAUUGUUAAUAAGCUAUACCCCCAUACAAAAUUUUUUGUGUGUGUUAAAAAAAAUAAAGUUAAUAAAAAGAAAGUAAAAGGGUACCGGGGAUAGUGUCCCCUACGUUGGUGACUGCAAGACUAAAAACACAAGUGCUAUUUCCUCUCUUGUUGCUCCCAAACUACCUCAUCUUACAUUCUUGCCAAAGGCAACUUCAUUCCUUCUGGGUCCCGCAUGCAUUGUCCUGGUCCAUUACACAACCUUGUUGUUGAUUGUUGAUUUUGC
rnacentral:lncRNA from 1 species